AUGGAUCCAGUUUUGUCGAGAAUGGGACUCGUUAUGCCGGGUAUGCAAGCGGCCGUGACCCUGCUGGAGGCCGGGGGGAACCCCCAGCCCCCCGGGGGGUCCCUGCGCCUCCUCUGCCGAGGAUCCGGGUUCAGUUUGGGCAGUUUCAGAAUGUUCUGGAUCCGCCAGAGACCCGGGCAGGGGUUGGAAUACGUCGCAGCGAUCAAGAACGAUGGAUCCAGCUACGCCUACGCAUCAUCAGUGCAGGGCCGGUUCAGGAUCUCCAGGGACAACGGGCAGAUCUCGGUGACGCUGACCAUGAACAACCUCAAGGACGAGGAUUCCGGAUCCUAUUUCUGCGUGAAAGCUGCCUCUGGUACUUGGGGUGCUGCUGCUUAUGGGCCGACAUUUGGGAACAGCGGGUGA